GGAAACCUAAAUCUACUCCACUCUAAACCUAAAUCUACUCCACUCUAAAUCAUUCAGAAAAUUGCUGAAUCUGUGAGUUUCAUCGUCUGACGGUCGGCGUCGCUAAAUUUAUGGAACCGUAGCUCUGUGGAACCGAAGUAAGAAAAGUGCCAAUUGUUAGAGUUGUCGAUGAUCUGGUAGAUUUGUGGGAUCGGAUAGCUAUAACUAAAGUGUUUUUCAAAGGAAUUUCUGUGGCUCAUUAUCGGUAUCUGAUUUGGAAACCUCAUACUCCAAAGACUGCAAUUGCUUCAUCCACAUCAAAGGAAGUGAGGAAUUGUUGUGCAAGUUUUCUUCAGUUAAGGUAUUCCUUUUGGUUCACAUCAGUGAGGUCAAACCAAAAGGUUGGCAGAAGACGAAGAUAGAAAAGACGCAAAAAAACCUUUGUUGAAUCUGAUCACAAAGGAUUUCCUGGUGAUGAUGCACUUAAUGUUUCAAGCGAAAGGGAUUUCUCCAAAUUCUCGCCUGGUGGAGAUAGAAGGAAUGGUCGGGAUGCCGAUAUGGAUUCAAAUUCAAAUGAAAUUAUGGUUGACCAUGAGAGCAGAAUUACUUCUCAUAUUGGUGUGGAUAACUUUAGUGAUGAAGAUCUGAACGGUUCCAGUUUAAACAGCUCUGGCAGCAGUCACUAUAGAGCUUUUUGGGAUGUCUUUAGAAGGAAAGAUGUGCCGAUGCUUAUCGAGUAUCUAAGAUUUAAUUGAAAGAAACAUGGAGAUUCAGACCAUCUAACGGAUGAUUCUGUAGGUUAAGGUGGAUGAGACAAUGUAAACUUAGCUUAAAUUGGCUCCGUUACGUCAACAAUGAUAGGGACAAGUGAGAUCUCAUCAUAUAUGGCUCAUCAUUAGGUGUUUGUGCUGCUUUCCAUGCUCCAGUGGUUGUCCUCCUAUUUGCAUUAGAGGAAGUGGCAACAUGGUGGAGAAAUGCCCUCAUCUGGAGAACUUCCUUUAUCACUGUUGUUGUCUUGGUAGUACAAGGUCUUCAUGGAAUACUUGUAAAUCUGGUAGCUAUGGACUUUUUAGGAGAGGUGGACUUAUCAUGUUUGAUUUAAGUGGUGUAAUUGUUAAGAUUCAUAGCAAAAUUAGGCAUUGGGCCCGUGCAAAGCAUGGGCUUCAUUAUCUAGUUGUGUUAUAAUUUAUUAUGUAUGUAAAUAAAAAUUUAUAUUAAUACGACUAUUCA